rnacentral:rRNA from 1 species
CAUGUGGUUUAAUUCGAUGCAACGCGAAGAACCUUACCUGGUCUUGACAUCCACAGAACUUUCCAGAGAUGGAUUGGUGCCUUCGGGAACUGUGAGACAGGUGCUGCAUGGCUGUCGUCAGCUCGUGUUGUGAAAUGUUGGGUUAAGUCCCGCAACGAGCGCAACCCUUAUCCUUUGUUGCCAGCGGUCCGGCCGGGAACUCAAAGGAGACUGCCAGUGAUAAACUGGAGGAAGGUGGGGACGACGUCAAGUCAUCAUGGCCCUUACGACCAGGGCUACACACGUGCUACAAUGGCGCAUACAAAGAGAAGCGACCUCGCGAGAGCAAGCGGACCUCAUAAAGUGCGUCGUAGUCCGGAUUGGAGUCUGCAACUCGACUCCAUGAAGUCGGAAUCGCUAGUAAUCGUGGAUCAGAAUGCCACGGUGAAUACGUUCCCGGGCCUUGUACACACCGCCCGUCACACCAUGGGAGUGGGUUGCAAAAGAAGUAGGUAGCUUAACCUUCGGGAGGGCGCUUACCACUUUGUGAUUCAUGACUGGGGUGAAGUCGUAACAAGGUAACCGUAGGGGAACCUGCGGUUGGAUCACCUC